GAUGAACGCUGGCGGCGUGCCUAAUACAUGCAAGUCGAGCGAACAGACGAUGAGCUUGCUCCUCUGAUGUUAGCGGCGGACGGGUGAGUAACACGUGGAUAACCUACCUAUAAGACUGGGAUAACUUCGGGAAACCGGAGCUAAUACCGGAUAACAUGUUGAACCGCAUGGUUCAACAGUGAAAGACGGUCUUGCUGUCACUUAUAGAUGGAUCCGCGCCGCAUUAGAUAGUUGGUAAGGUAACGGCUUACCAAGGCAACGAUGCGUAGCCGACCUGAGAGGGUGAUCGGCCACACUGGAACUGAGACACGGUCCAGACUACUACGGGAGGCAGCAGUAGGGAAUCUUCCGCAAUGGGCGAAAGCCUGACGGAGCAACGCCGCGUGAGUGAAGAAGGUCUUCGGAUCGUAAAACUCUGUUAUUAGGGAAGAACAAAUGUGUAAGUAACUAUGCACGUAUUGACGGUACCUAAUCAGAAAGCCACGGCUAACUACGUG
rnacentral:rRNA from 1 species